UACGUAGGUGGCAAGCGUUGUCCGGAUUUACUGGGCGUAAAGAGCGCGCAGGCGGCCUGAUCAGUCGAAUGUGAAAGCCCCCGGCUUAACUGGGGAGGGUCAUUCGAUACUGUCAGGCUCGAAGGCAGGAGAGGGAAGCGGAAUUCCCGGUGUAGUGGUGAAAUGCGUAGAUAUCGAGAGGAAGACCAGUGGCGAAGGCGGGUCUCUGGACAGUUCCUGACACUGAGACACGAAGGCCAGGGGAGCAAACGGG
rnacentral:rRNA from 1 species